GAUGAACGCUAGCGGCAGGCUUAACACAUGCAAGUCGAGGGGCAGCGGGGAGGAAGCUUGCUUUCUCCGCCGGCGACCGGCGCACGGGUGAGUAACACGUAUGCAACCUGUCCGGUACAGGGGGAUAAGCGGCGGAAACGCCGUCUAAUACCGCGUGACAACCCGAGGGGGCAUCCCCUUGGGUUCAAAGGAGAGAUCCGGUACCGGCUGGGCAUGCGGCGCAUUAGCUAGUUGGCGGGGCAACGGCCCACCAAGGCGACGAUGCGUAGGGGUUCUGAGAGGAAGGUCCCCCACACUGGAACUGAGACACGGUCCAG
rnacentral:rRNA from 1 species